rnacentral:rRNA from 1 species
AGUUGAGCGGAGAUAUAUGGAGCUUGCUUUAUAUAACUUAGCAGCGAACGUGUGAGUAACACGUAGAUAAUCUAUCCUAUACUGGGGGAUAGCCCGAUGAAAGUUGGAUUAAUACCGCAUAUAGCUAUAUAGUUGCAUGAUUAUGUAGUGAAAGAUUUAUUGGUAUAGGAGGAGUCUGCGGCACAUUAGCUAGUAGGUGAGGUAAAGGCUUACCUAGGCGACGAUGUGUAGCCGGUCUGAGAGGAUGAACGGCCACAAUGGAACUGAGACACGGUCCAUACUCCUACGGGAGGCAGCAGUGGGGAAUAUUGCACAAUGGGGGAAACCCUGAUGCAGCAACGCCGCGUGAGUGAAGAAGGUUUUCGGAUUGUAAAGCUCUGUUAGCAGGGAAGAGGAAGGACGGUACCUGCAGAGGAAGCCACGGCUAACUACGUGCCAGCAGCCGCGGUAAUACGUAGGUGGCAAGCGUUGUUCGGAAUAACUGGGCGUAAAGGAUGCGUAGGCGGUUAAACAAGUUAUAUGUUAAAUAUAUAGGCUUAACCUGUAGAAAGCAUAUAAAACUGUUUAACUAGAGUGCAGGAGAGGUAAGUGGAAUUCCUAGUGUAGCGGUGAAAUGCGUAGAGAUUAGGAAGAACACCAGUGGCGAAGGCGACUUACUGGACUGUAACUGACGCUGAGGCAUGAGAGCAUGGGGAGCAAACAGGAUUAGAUACCCUGGUAGUCCAUGCUGUAAACGAUGGGUACUAGGUGUGGGUUGUGAAUAACAAUUCGUGCCGUCGCAAACGCAAUAAGUACCCCGCCUGA